rnacentral:piRNA from 1 species
UCUUGAUGCUGAUUGAGGUUGUUGGUC